ACUUAUCGAUUGGACUGACUUAUCUCUAAUCCUUCUCAUGACUUGGUGAAGUCAGUGGGAAGAUUUAGAUGUGUCAGUUGGAUCAGCUAGUCUCUGUCCUUUACAUGACUUGGUGAAUUCAGUGGAAGAAUUUAUGACUUACAGGUUAACUGAUAUCUUCUAAAAGAUUUAAUCAAAUUUUUUAAAUUAUUAGAUCCAUAAAAUGAACUAGUGAUGGGGAUAACUAGAUCAUAGCCUCUCGUUAAGGUGAAUGAUAAUGGGUCCAUUAUUUCUAAUUGAUAUUGCAGGCGCCAUCCAUCUAGUAUUUUCUCUGAAUGAUGGAAUUAUCAUUCAUCAUAUGAUGACUCUGUUGAACUAUCUGAUGGUGGUCAGAUUGACCGAGCCAUCCUCGGGCCUGAUCAUUUUUUGGCUAGAAUCACUAAGUAGGUUCAUAUUAAUGGUUGGACCUAACUGGAACUUUUACUGGAGGCCCAUCACCUACUGAAAUAGAACCUGGGAUGAAAUUAAAUACUAGAAGUUAUUUGGAGAAACAAUUGGUUGAGAACCUAUCUAUGGAUGCAUAUGGGUUGGUCGAGCCAUCCUCGGACUUAUAUGCAGUUUGUGUGGAUUCUAGUACCCGCUAAGAAAUUAAGAUAAUUCUUUGAAUUAAAAGUAGAGGCUACCAAUUCGUAUAAAAUAGUGGGAGAACCUUUAGACUAAAGUCCAAAUCUUUAGGCUUAAAAUAGUUCAUAUACUAAUAGGUCAAUUGUUCUCUUUUUAGAAAUGGUUAGAAAAUUAUUAUUUUGUUUGCUGUUUGAUAGUGAAAAUAUUAUCAGACCUAACUUUGAUAACCUAUAUCAGAAGUUGAGUAUAGUUUUUGGACAAAUUGAUCAAGAAGUCUCAUGCUAACCCAAAC
rnacentral:lncRNA from 1 species